CCUAUGAAACACGUUGCCCCAAAUAUCAUGGAGGCCACCAGGGCCAGAAGUGGAUGGGAGAUGUGUGGAUAAAAAAAAAAUCUUGAUUUUAAACAGUGCAUAUUUAAAAAUGAAUGAGUUUUGGGAAUACAUAAACCUUCAAGCUUCUGGAAAUAAGCAUACCUCUACCAUUGAAAAUUAGAAAGCAACAUUCCCUUGGUUAUCACGUAACUAUUUCUUGCAGGCUUUCUUGCAGAUCUUCAAAGCUCUUGAUAAUGACUGCAGUUCCUGUGUUCCCAGAGUCCAUGACUGGUCAGGUACAAUCGCAGUACAGGCUGGGGGCUGACUGGCUGGGCAGCAGCUCUGCAGAAAAGGACCUGGGGGUUACAGUGGACAAUAAGCUGAAUAUGAGCCAACAGUGUGCUCUCGUUGCCAAGAAGGCUAAUGGCAUACUGGGUUGCAUUGGUGUGUGUGUUCACAGCAGUUCAAGGGAAGUGAUUGUUCCCCCUAUUCAGCACUGGUGAGUACUGGAGUACUGUGUUCAGUUUUUAGCCCCCUGCUACAGAAAGGAUGUGGACAAAUUGGAGAGAGUCCAGCAGAGGGCAACAAAAAUUGUGAGGGGGUGGAGCACAUGACUUAUGAGGAAAGGCUGAGAGAACUGGACAUAUUUAGUCUGCAGAAGAGAAGACUGACAGGGGAUUUGAUAGCAGCCUUCAACUAACUAGAGGGUGGUUCAAAGGUGGAUGGAGCUAGAGUGUUCUCAGUGGUGGCAGAUGACAGAACAAGGAGCAAUGGUCUCAAACUACAGCAAGGGAAGUUUAGGUUAGAUAUUAGGAAGAAUUGUCUGACUAAGAGGGUAGUAAAGCAUGUGAACAGGUUACCCAGAGACAUUGUGGAAUCUCCAUCUUUAGAGGUUUUCAAGACCUGGCUAGACAAAGCUUUGACUGGGAUGAUCUAGUUGGGGAUGGUCCUGCUUUGAGCAGGGGGUUGGACUAGAUGAUCUCCGGAGCUCCCUUCCAACCCUAAUUUUCUAUGAUUGUAUGAUUCUAAGUACAAAACAUAAUAGAGACUUCCUCCUAAUAUAGAAUGUAAGGUAACAAUAGAAAAUGGAUAUUCGGGGUCAACUAGUAAUUUGGUAUGUUUUUUACUGCCAUAGAAUAAUAUCAACAAUUGUGUUUUUAAGAUGAAAAUUAGUCCUUGAGUUGAAUACACUAGUCCUGAUCUGUGCUACAUUCUUCUAAUAAUGCCAGCAAAAAACCAUUAGAGAUACAAGGCCUGCCAAGCAGGUAUCUCUUAAGUUACUUUUAAUAUUCAUUCCAUUUGUUCAUGAUUUGUGCUCAGCAGUUAUUUUGUGAUCUGUUUUUCAUUAUAGAAGAGGGGAAUUUGAUUAUUCUUUCCAUUCUUUGCAUUUUUCAUACAUAUCAGUACGACUGAAAACUGAGGCACUUUUAGCUCUUCCUUGCAAACUGAACUAUGGGACACUUCUGUUCUUUUAUUAUGUCUCAAAUAAUGAUUAGUUUUACCAUAUGCUUUCAUUGUGUUAUCUGUUGUCCGGCCUAGAUUAUGGAUAGCUAUAGGGGGUAUGGCAUCCAUAAAUAGCAAACUGAAUGGAGUAGCCUUGCUUACAACCCUGUGCAGUAAUGAUCUCGAGCUGGGACUAACAGUGCCUUUAGUUUCCAUGUAGCAUUCAAGGAAUGGUAGAAGUAGGCCUUCUCCCCCCCACUCCCACAUGCACAUUGGCCAACAAAAUGAUAGCUCUUUUAAGGAAACUUUCAACUACUUUCAGCUCCGUUUGAAAAAAAGCAUUUUUAAGGACAUUUUUAGUUGCAACUCACCAGCAGUUUUGGUGAGUUGAAAACCUGUAUUCAUUGGGUAAAGAGUUGUACUGACAGGAUAGAUAAGAGCUAAAACACAUUCUGAGUUCUACCUUAAAAACUGAGGCUGUGUCCAAAAAUGCUCCAUGCACGUUUUACAGCACUGUAAUUUAGACCAUUUUUUAUAGCAUUAUAAAGUUACAUCACUCUUAAACAAGACAGAAGUGCAGUGUUUGGGAAGGCAGGGGGUGCUCUGAGCCUCUCUGAACUUUGUAGGCUAGGUGGCAGGGGAUGUCCCAUAGUCUCCUGGGGCUUCUCCACUGGUCAGAAAUUUGGCCAAUGUACAGAAGUUAUUUAAAGAGCUGUAGGUGGUUGAAGUGCUGUAAAAUACAGCGCUUCAAAUUCAAUACCUCAUUUAACAAGGGUUAAUUUAAAGUGCAGUACCUAUUUUUAAAGUGCUGUAAAGCUGGGCACUUCUGUUAAAUCGUGGCAAUAAAGCACUUGAAAUGGCGAAAAAAGCAACUUCUGUACCCAGCCUGAAAAACUUCAUACAUUAUUUAAGGUUUUCACAGGGAUUGCAUUUAGUAGCAACUUAAUUGACCACUAGAUGUCACCAUUGCUCCAUGAAAAUAGGCUUAGGAGUGCAUUUUGUGUGGCUGUAAAUAAGAUAGCCUUUGGAGAAAGAAGUUCAGAAAGGUCGUUUUUAAAAGUAAUUUUAAUAGUUUCUUUUCUCUUUGGUCCCUAAAACAUGUUCACACAGAAUCCCAGCAGACUUCACAGCUAUGCAAGUCAUUUUUCGCUGCACAAUUUUCUACUUGAAUUUUCAUCAAUUCAUUCUGCAGACUCUUUGAAACCAGUCUCCUUUUAUUUUAGGGCAAAUGCAGGAUCAGCAUCUUUUGACUUUACAGUGAUUUAUAUUAAAAACCAUUAGGUAACUGUACUCUACAUUUGUGAAAUGAGAAAUGAGAAAAUUAGGGUUCAGCUUGAUUGUUCUGAAGUGUAAAUUUUCUUCUCGGAUCAAUACCUCUGGAGAAGAACCUAGCCAGAGGUCUAGUGCUUUUUAGAUACAUGCUGCUUUCAGGUAGCUUGGAGAGGACAGCUUAAACCAGAAAGACCUUCAGACGCUAGUCUUUCCUGGACUUAAAAAAGAGGAAAAAAACAAACAAACCCUGGUUGAUUGCCCCAUUCACGAAAGACUUAUUGAUUUCUAAAAGUGAACUCAUCAGCCCACGCUUUCCUCCAUCCUCAGAGAAGCUUUAAUUUCCUCUGAUGUGGCCUCUGUAUUCGACUCAGUGUGAGGCAGGGGUUUCUUUGUGAGUGUGUUUGUGUGUGUGUGUGUGUUUUUACCAUUUCAAAUACUUGACAGCUGGGUGAAGUUUUCCUUCCGCCCAGAGAAGGACUUUUUACAUUUCAUAAUGGAUUGCCAGGGCUGCCAGGGCUAUUUUCUCUCCAGCUGUGAGAGUGGCUUUUUAAAAUGACUCACAAAAGCUGGUGGCCAGCUGCUUCACCUCAGCCUUCACAAGGGCCUUGCAUUCUAAACAGUGGUACUGCUGACUGCCUGGAGAAGGGCUCAUUGAUGUGGACCGUGCAGAUGUAUUCCACACACAACAGUUGAUCCUAAAGAGACCUCCAUUCAGGCAGGCUAUUGCAUAGAGUCAAAACAAUGAAACUGGAAGGAUCAGAGUUGCUACAGCCCAGCAAAUGUGAUUGAUGUGUGCAAAUGGCACAACUUCAUGCAUGAAGAUCAGAUUUUAUUUUUCCUCUUUUGCAACUGAGGAUAUAGAGAAGUGUGACUCUUGAAAUAUAUCAUCUCUAAGUACUGGAAAUAAUGGCUUCCUAAAAUCAAAUCAGUUGUAUUUAACUGUAUCAGCAGGUAAUUAAAUUCUGGUUUAGUUACCACAUA